GUUAAGGUAAGCUAAUUAAGCUACCGGGCCCAUACCCCGUCCAUGUAAGUUAAACCCUUACCCCUAACU
rnacentral:tRNA from 1 species